rnacentral:rRNA from 1 species
CCUACGGGAGGCAGCAGUGGGGAAUUUUGGACAAUGGGCGCAAGCCUGAUCCAGCAAUGCCGCGUGAGUGAAGAAGGCCUUCGGGUUGUAAAGCUCUUUUGUCAGGGAAGAAACGGAUUUUUCUAAUACAGAGAUCUAAUGACGGUACCUGAAGAAUAAGCACCGGCUAACUACGUGCCAGCAGCCGCGGUAAUACGUAGGGUGCAAGCGUUAAUCGGAAUUACUGGGCGUAAAGCGUGCGCAGGCGGUUUUGUAAGUUUGUCGUGAAAUCCCCGGGCUCAACCUGGGAAUGGCGAUGAAGACUGCAAGGCUAGAGUUUGGCAGAGGGGGGUAGAAGUUCCACGUGUAGCAGUGAAAUGCGUAGAUAUGUGGAGGAACACCGAUGGCGAAGGCAGCCCCCUGGGUCAAAACUGACGCUCAUGCACGAAAGCGUGGGGAGCAAACAGGAUUAGAUACCCUGGUAGUCCACGCCCUAAACGAUGUCUACUAGUUGUCGGGUCUUAAUUGACUUGGUAACGCAGCUAACGCGUGAAGUAGACCGCCUGGGGGAGGUACGGUCGUCGAGAGUUAAACGUUAACGUAAAGAAGUUAGUACGGCGUUGAGACGNGCGACGGACGACGACGAGGGAGGAGG